CCUCCCCCUGCCGCGGGAGGCUCUGGCAUCCCAGGAGUGCCGUGGCGUCUUGAUCAAUCCUCGGUGAGCAAGGUCAGCUGGUUGCACGGCUCAGGGAUGAACGGCAAAGAGCUGCACGUGAGAAUGAACCGGGUGGUGCGUGAAGAAGCUGAAACGCAGCGUGUGUGCGGUCAAUGCCGUGGGUCCUGGCCGUUGGCGGGCCGAACACUCCGCCUUCCGCAGCCGAGGCCACCGGUGAUGGAAGUUCAAGUUUAGCCGUCCAAGAACCGUCCAGAACCCAGCCCUGCCUCACCACGGACGUGGUCUCGGCUCAUAGCCUCCACACGCACACAUGCAUGCACACAUGCACAUGGACACACACAUGCACAUGCACACGCACAUUCCCGCACACAUGCUGCUGGCCCCGGAGAGAGCUGCCCCAGCAGGGCGUGCCCCGUCCCGCCCCGGGUCCCUCCGCUUCUCACCCUGCCAUGCGAUCCUCGGAGAUUCUGUCUUCUCCGGUGCUUCCUGCUCACUUUUUCCUUAACGGGGAAGACAUGGGCUCUGCUUAGCACCCGGCCGGGAAUGAAAGUCCUUACGCUGAUGCUGUGUUGGCCCGAGCGAGCCAUCGAAGGCACAGUGGGGACACGCAAGAAGCUUGGUGCAAACACAACAACGUCCUGGGAACGUUCUGUCCCUGCAGGGACGGGAGCCCGGCCGCCCCUCUCGUCUUGACCGGGCAUCCGAGCGUGGCACUGGUUUAUAUAGCGGCAGCCGCGUCCCGGGACAGCUGUCGGGGCUCACGUUUCAGAAGAAUUGCCGCCGCCGAUAAGGUCCCCAACAGCACACGCUGGAGUCCCUGGCUGAGAAGAGCAAAAGGAUGCGAGCGGCUGUGGUCCUCCUGGCUGUCGCGCUGGUCCUGGCCUGCACUGGAGUCCUCUUCCCUUUCGUCUGGGGAGGCAAGGGACUCCGCUGGGCAGAGACCGAGGACGCCCGCGUCACCAGCGUCGU